UUAUUUGAGAGUUUGAUCCUGGCUCAGGAUGAACGCUGGCGGCGUGCCUAACACAUGCAAGUUGAGCGAUUUACUUCGGUAAAGAGCGGCGGACGGGUGAGUAACGCGUGGGUAACCUACCCUGUACACACGGAUAACAUACCGAAAGGUAUGCUAAUACGGGAUAAUAUAUUUGAGAGGCAUCUCUUGAAUAUCAAAGGUGAGCCAGUACAGGAUGGACCCGCGUCUGAUUAGCUAGUUGGUAAGGUAACGGCUUACCAAGGCGACGAUCAGUAGCCGACCUGAGAGGGUGAUCGGCCACAUUGGAACUGAGACACGGUCCAAACUCCUACGGGAGGCAGCAGUGGGGAAUAUUGCACAAUGGGCGAAAGCCUGAUGCAGCAACGCCGCGUGAGUGAUGAAGGCCUUCGGGUCGUAAAAC
rnacentral:rRNA from 1 species